rnacentral:rRNA from 1 species
GAUGAACGCUAGCGGCAGGCCUAAUACAUGCAAGUCGGACGGGAUUCAGGAGCUUGCUUCUGAUGAGAGUGGCGCACGGGUGCGUAACACGUAUGUAACCUACCUUUAUCAGGGGGAUAGCCUCUCGAAAGAGAGAUUAAGCCCGCAUAAAAUCACAGCACAGCAUUGUGUAAUGAUCAAAUAUUUAUAGGAUAAAGAUGGGCAUGCGGAACAUUAGCUAGAUGGCGGGGUAACGGCCCACCAUGGCGACGAUGUUUAGGGGAUCUGAGAGGAUGGCCCCCCACACUGGUACUGAGACACGGACCAGACGCCUACGGGAGGCAGCAGUAAGGAAGAUUGGUCAAUGGGCGGAAGCCUGAACCAGCCAUGCCGCGUGCAGGAAGACGGCCCUACGGGUUGUAAACUGCUUUUAUACGGGAAUAAACCCAGAUACGUGUAUCUGGCUGAAUGUACUGUAAGAAUAAGGAUCGGCUAACUCCGUG